rnacentral:rRNA from 1 species
GUCUUAAAGAAUUUAAUUUUAAGUCUAAUCUGCCCAAUGAUUAAAUAUUAAAUGGCUGCAGUAUUUUAACUGUACUAAGGUAGCAUAAUAAUUUGUUUUUUAAUUAAAAACUAGAAUAAAAGAUUAAAUGAAAUAAAAACUGUUUCAAUUAAUUUAAAAUUUAAUUUUUUAUUUAAGUUAAAAAACUUAAAUAUUUUAUAAAGACGAUAAGACCCUAUAGAAUUUUAUUUAUUUUUUUAAAAAAAAUAAAUUAAUUAAAUAAAUUUAAUUGGGGUAAUUAAAAAAUUUAAAAAAUUUUUUUUAAAAUUUACAUUAUUUAAUGAAUUUUUUAUCUUAAAUUUUAAAUUAAAAAAAUUAAUUACCUUAGGGAUAACAGCAUAAUUUUUUUUGAGAGAUCUUAUUAAUAAAAAAGAUUAU